rnacentral:lncRNA from 1 species
UUACAGGUAACACUAACAUGUACAGUAUGCAGGAAGACAGGUAAAUGACAAAAGUAGCAAGAACCAAAACAGAUUUGUAACAUCAUCUAUAGAAGUUAAGAGAUCAUAACCUGAGAUGCCAGUACUAAAAGUUGAAGCUUGGAGCUCCAGAACAUCGGUGAUGUGCUCCAUUUAGAAGUCAUGAUUCUUGGAGGCACAAAUUUUGGUGGCGACCUCCAACAAGUAGCAAAAUUGAAACUGAAUAAUUUCCUUAUUAUUUCUUUGGGGAAUUUAAAAGGAGGGGAAGAAUCUUCUUGUGUUGUAGGUUUCGGUCCAUUUUCUGUACAUUCUAAUAGAUUCUGAUCUCAUUUGGAAAUGAAAUCACACCAUUGUUUUCGUGUAGCUCUUUUUGAACAUCUGUUCUGCAAGUCAUAUCUUAGAUUUUAUAGACGUAAAAGAGCAGAAAAUUUGUAAACUUACUCGCGUCAUGUGUUUACCCAAUCUGUAUUCUUGUGUACUAAUGGGUCAUGGAGAUAGAUAGGAGGUGGCUCUCAAGCAAGACCUGUAAAUAUGCAGGACGUGAUAAUACUCUCUUUGGAACAGUGCAUUAUAUGCUAGUAUUCUGAUAAUGAUGAUAAACUGAGAAGAUCUUGUACUUGAUGAGAUUUUUUAUGAGAUCUAGAAAGACGUAGAUAUCAUUGUCGAUGUAGCCAAUAUCACAGGGUGAACUCCCUGCGUCCCAACCGAACCCCCUUAUCCAAGGUAAAGGAUGGACCUUAAAUUGAUGGGUUCGGUUGAACGUUUUUGAUACAGAACAUAGAUAUGUAUGUAAAAGAUUAUUAAAAUGUCUACAAGUAUAAAAUUCUGAACACAAACAAUUUUAAACGUGCGUAGAUUAAUUGAUGAGAACCUUAUAAAGUGAACUUAAGCUUAAAUUCUGAAGUUACCUUUGAUGGUGAAAGACAAUCUCAUAUAUGUUCUGUCGUAGUUUGAAGAUUUUCACAGGAAACUGUCCAGAUCGAUAUAUCUACAUUGCUAGCAAAAAGCAUCUUCCGUGGUCCAGGCAGUAGAACAAAGGUUGCAUGGCACAAGUUUUGCUCGAUUACCCUUUCAUAGCACACGGGAGUUUGGCACAAAUUUUGCCUGGUGUGUUUUUUGUGGGGAGAUAUACUAGUGUCAGGAUCAACG